GCCCCGGUGGUGGAACACUGGUAGACACACUGGUUUCAGGAACCAGCGCCGCAAGGCAUACGGGUUCGAGUCCCGUCUGGGGCA
rnacentral:tRNA from 1 species